rnacentral:rRNA from 1 species
ACGCACGCUGGCGGCGUGCUUAACCCAUGCAAGUCGCACGGAAAGGCCCUGCUUUUGUGGGGUGCUCGAGUGGCGAACGGGUGAGUAACACGUGAGUAACCUGCCCUUGACUUUGGGAUAACUUCAGGAAACUGGGGCUAAUACCGGAUAGGAGCUCCUGCUGCAUGGUGGGGGUUGGAAAGUUUCGGCGGCUGGGGAUGGACUCGCGGCUUAUCAGCUUGUUGGUGGGGUAGUGGCUUACCAAGGCUUUGACGGGUAGCCGGCCUGAGAGGGUGACCGGCCACAUUGGGACUGAGAUACGGCCCAGACUCCUACGGGAGGCAGCAGUGGGGAAUAUUGCACAAUGGGCGGAAGCCUGAUGCAGCAACGCCGCGUGCGGGAUGACGGCCUUCGGGUUGUAAACCGCUUUCGCCUGUGACGAAGCGUGAGUGACGGUAAUGGGUAAAGAAGCACCGGCUAACUACGUG